ACUCACACCACCAACGCAUAGGUACUCACACCACCAACGCAUAGGUACUCACACCACCAACACAUAGGUACUCACACCACCAACGCAUAGGUACUCACACCACCAACGCAUAGGUACUCACACCACCAACGCAUAGGUACUCACACCACCAACGCAUAGGUACUCACACCACCAACGCAUAGGUACUCACACCACCAACGCAUAGGUACUCACACCACCAACGCAUAGGUACUCACACCACCAACGCAUAGGUACUCACACCACCAACGCAUAGGUACUCACACCACCAACGCAUAGGUACUCACACCACCAACCCAUAGGUACUCACACCACCAACGGAUAGGUACUCACACCACCAACG